rnacentral:rRNA from 1 species
GUCGAGAAUCUUCCCCAAUGGGCGAAAGCCUGAGGGAGCGACGCCGCGUGAGGGAUGAAGGCCCUUUGGGUUGUAAACCUCUGUUAGGGGGAAAGAAAAGCAGUGGAAGCAAUAUGUCCAUUGCCUGACGUUACCCCCAGAGAAAGCUCCGGCCAACUCCGUGCCAGCAGCCGCGGUAAUACGGGGGGAGCAAGCGUUGUCCGGAAUCAUUGGGCGUAAAGGGCGUGUAGGCGGCUUGGCAAGUCGAAUGUGAAAUCCCACGGCUCAAACGUGGAACUGCGUUCGAAACUGCCUUGCUUGAGUGCGGGAGAGGUGUGCGGAAUUCCUGGUGUAGCGGUGGAAUGCGUAGAUAUCAGGAAGAACACCGGUGGCGAAGGCGGCACACUGGCCCAGCACUGACGCUGAGGCGCGAAAGCGUGGGGAGCGAACGGGAUUAGAUACCCCUGUAGUCC